ACGACACACUGCUCAUAACAGUGUUUCUGUGAAGGGUGAAGGUGUGUGUGUGUGUUCCAACAAAGAGAAGAGAUUCAAGCCGACAGAAGGGUGAUUCGAGAGCAGAGGGUCCUGUCCACUUUUUAAAGUUAAAGAACAACUUAAGGAAACAACAUGGGGAAAGACGAGAGCAUGGAGUGGGCGGAAGAGGAUCCCGACAUAAGGCAAAGUCAGCCGCCAAGCUACGCGGAUUCACAGAAACAUGGGGAGAAAAAAUCCGGGAGCAGCUGUCCCACAUGCUGCAUAAAGACAAGGAACUGCCUGAUGAGCGCAGAGUGCGGCAGAGCUCUUCAGAUCUCCAGUGUCGUGGCCAUGUGCGGCAUGUGCCUCCGCUUCUUUGUGUAGCCUAACCUUAGACAUCAGGAGCAGCCUUUCAACAUACCGGCUUUGUUUAUUCCCGGCAUCCUCCUACAUGCUCCGUGAAUCAUGCCAUAUGCCAUAUGGGUUUCUUUCUUCUUCUCUGAGAUAUUCUCAAACUCGCUGUCAAUUUCAAAGCUGGAGUUAUUAUUAUUAUUAUUAUUUUUUUUUUAUUCCCCUGUCCACGAGUUACAGUAAUUAAUGUAUAAGAGAAUUAAGCUGUUUCUAUAAACAUGACCAACUGGAAAGGGAACAUACUGUACAGUUGCACAUUAGUAUGUAUGUGUGUGUGAGUGAAUGAGUACAAGAAUACAACUCUAAUCUGCUCACCCUUGUCGAAUGUUUAUUUGGAUACUUAGAUCUGAUUGUUCGUCUCCUAUUGUUCAAAAGUAAACAGUAUUUGUUGUAAUGUAUUUUUUUAGUUGAGAGAUUUUCAGUUGCGUUGUGUCAUAUUUAAUAAUUGACAUCAUCAUCAUCACAAUAAAAAAACUGAAAAGUGA